CCUGGCUGACUCUUGGCGAACGACGACCGCUCUGGCAAAUCCGCCUUCUCCUUUUUGGCCAAAUUGUAUUAUGGUAAGAGAAAGCGAUUUUGAUCUACCUCCAUUAUUACAUUGAAAUGAGUAAUCGGCUUUAAGAUACUUGUACGUACGUUGGCUUGCCUUGCCGGGUGUUAUCGCGACGUGUGUGGGAGCACCAACGACUUCCCUCUCGGCUGUUGAUAUAAGUCACCCCUUUGGGUCGCACGAUAAUACCGUUGCCAUGAAUACCUUAAUAUGCUGCUAUCUGCGUAUGUAUGUAUGCGUGUGAGCGCCUUUUAUCAUCACGACUGCGCUCUUCCUCGUUCCCAGCGCCCCUUUUCGCUUUUCCUCUCCAAAGAGAGGGAUCAACGUGCAGUCUUUUUCGCCGUCCUUUGUGCACAGAUGAAUGGGAAAAAUUCGUGACUCAAAGAUACAAAUUGACCUCGUUUUUGCAUUUGAAAAAUGCUGACGCGUGGAGUUUUCGUAAAAAAGAUUUAACCAUGUAAGAAUUUAGAGAAAUCAAUUGAUCACAUGGUCCAAAUUUAAGCAUUUUAUUUAUUGGAACGAAGAAAAUAAAAGAAGUCGAAUGUUUAAUUUUAGUGUUAUCCUUAUAAAAUGCAAAAAAAAAAAAAAAAAAAAUUAAAA